rnacentral:rRNA from 1 species
GAACGCUGGCGGCGUGCCUAAUACAUGCAAGUCGAGCGAACAGACGAGGAGCUUGCUCCUCUGACGUUAGCGGCGGACGGGUGAGUAACACGUGGAUAACCUACCUAUAAGACUGGGAUAACUUCGGGAAACCGGAGCUAAUACCGGAUAAUAUAUUGAACCGCAUGGUUCAAUAGUGAAAGACGGUUUUGCUGUCACUUAUAGAUGGAUCCGCGCCGCAUUAGCUAGUUGGUAAGGUAACGGCUUACCAAGUCAACGAUGCGUAGCCGACCUGAGAGGGUGAUCGGCCACACUGGAACUGAGACACGGUCCAGACUCCUACGGGAGGCAGCAGUAGGGAAUCUUCCGCAAUGGGCGAAAGCCUGACGGAGCAACGCCGCGUGAGUGAUGAAGGUCUUCGGAUCGUAAAACUCUGUUAUUAGGGAAGAACAAAUGUGUAAGUAACUAUGCACGUCUUGACGGUACCUAAUCAGAAAGCCACGGCUAACUACGUG